rnacentral:rRNA from 1 species
CAUGUAGGCGGAUUGAUAAGUUUGAAGUGAAAUCCUAUAGCUUAACUAUAGAACUGCUUUGAAAACUGUUAAUCUAGAAUGUGGGAGAGGUAGAUGGAAUUUCUGGUGUAGGGGUAAAAUCCGUAGAGAUCAGAAGGAAUACCGAUUGCGAAGGCGAUCUACUGGAACAUUAUUGACGCUGAGAUGAGAAAGCGUGGGGAGCAAACA